rnacentral:rRNA from 1 species
UACGGAGGAUGCAAGCGUUAUCCGGAUUCACUGGGUUUAAAGGGUGCGCAGGCGGAAUUGUAAGUCAGUGGUGAAAGCCCGCAGCUUAACUGCGGAACUGCCAUUGAUACUAUAAUUCUUGAGUAUGGUUGAGGUGGGCGGAAUGUGUAAUGUAGCGGUGAAAUGCUUAGAUAUUACACAGAACACCGAUUGCGAAGGCAGCUCACUAAGCCAUUACUGACGCUCAUGCACGAAAGCGUGGGGAUCAAACAGGAUUAGAUACCCUGGUAGUCCACGCUGUAAACGAUGAUCACUCGCUGUUGGCAAUAUAUCGUUCAGCGGCUAAGCGAAAGCAUUAAGUGAUCCACCUGGGGAGUACGAUCGCAAGAUUGAA